CUCGGCGUCUCCCGGCUGGUCUGAGUCUGAGGCACUUGUGCAGAGCGGGAGGGCAGCUGCGCGCGUCGCCUCCCAGGCCCUCUGUCCGCCACGCCCCCGACGUGCCCGGCCGAAGUCAGGUUCUAAAUCCCUCGGGAGGAAUCCGAAACUCGGGUAGAGGCGCUCUCGACAUUUUCAUGGCCAUGCGGUUGGUGCGGCCGAAACUGGAGAGCUCAUAGGACUGUAGAUCUUAACAUCCCUAUGAGGGAGAGGACAAAGGAAACCACUCUGUCUAAGAAAAGCAGACACUAAGAUGCAGCACAGAAGAGAGAAUUUUGCCAUGCUUAUGAAUUUCUUAUGGAUUAACAUUAAAUUAAAUGAGUUAUUAAAUGUGAAACACUAGAGCCUGCUGCAGACAGGCAGGCCUGCACACACCCAACUGAGGUCACGAGUCACGCAGAACACGCCAAAUCAGCCCGCUGCAGACAGGCAGCCACCUGGUUCCACACUACAAAGACGCAGAGGACACCAGACCACCAGACCAAGGUACUGAGUCCCGCUGCUCCUGGCCCAG
rnacentral:lncRNA from 1 species